CUAGAGCAACACAAUCUGCCAAGUAUCCACAACCUAUCGGUUGUUUGAUGUAACUGCACACAGACGGAGGGUCUGUAGCUCAGUCGGUUAGAGCACCGUCUUGAUAAGGCGGGGGUCGUUGGUUCGAUUCCAACCAGACCCACCAACGUUUGAAGGAACGGGGGAUUAGCUCAGCUGGGAGAGCACCUGCUUUGCAAGCAGGGGGUCGUCGGUUCGAUCCCGUCAUCCUCCACCAAAACUGCAGAGAUCAUAGAUAAGCAAAAGCGCAUCGCAUUUGCUUAUCUCUGGCCUCUGGACAGAGUGCAGUUCGAUCUUUAACAAAACGGAAGAAGGUUGUGUCUCUGGUGCCGACAACCAAUACCAGAGACACGGUUGUGAUUGCAUCGUGAUUCGUAUUACAGCUAGUACGGAUUCACGAACAUUGAGUUGCCUGUAACCGACUCUCGCAAGAGAGUCCAAGGUUAUAGGAUCAAGCGACUAAGUGCAUGUG
rnacentral:tRNA from 1 species